rnacentral:lncRNA from 1 species
UGACACUUAUCACAAAUUAGAAAUGUCUCAUAAUGCUGAUAAAAUGGGGACUUAGAAUGAAGAAUUUCUUCACCUACCACAAUAGCAAAUGUGUUGGAUGUCUAACCUGUACUACACUGUAGUAUAUAUUGAUGACUGUAUCGUACUUCUAAAUGUAAUGAAAACAAGCUAACAAAUCCUGUGCCUCUGGAAAAGCCAUCCUUUGCAAAUCCUCUCUAUACGUAAUCUUAAAAAGCAUUCAUACUGAUAGCAAAUACUAAAUGUAUUUUGUAUAUUUUUUAAUGCAGAGGGAGAGAAUGGCUGCUGGCUGGAUGACAUUAGCAAACAGACCAUCCCUAAUCUGCUCUUCAGCACAUGGCCUACAUCUUGUUGCUAUCAUUCCUCUUUUCUUUGAGUGAAUAACUCUCAUUUCACGAGGCUUUUCUAAGCAGAACCCAUCCUUCAGUAUGCCUGUAUAUACAGCAGUUUUACACAGACUUUUUUCUCUAUGCCCAACACAACGGCAGAAAAUGGAGCUGCUGACACUAACAAGGAAAAAAGGAAGGUGGUCAUUCCUGGAGAAGACGCCUCUCUCUUUAAUAUCCUGACACAGCGAGGUGGUUGCCCACAGAUUAGGAAACUGUUUCCAGAGCUCAUCAUCACCCAAGUGAGGUGGUUGCCACAACAGGUCGAUGGCUAGCUGCGAGGACAUCAAUGGAUGCACAACUUCAAAGUGCUGAGAUGUAAAGCAUACCACACAUAGAUGAGAAAGCUGAAGAGUCUUGUGUGCAGGAAGAAGCGGCAUCUAUAUGUAAUGAAUGUAAUAAGUGCAGACUGAUUAAAUUCAGCAAAUCUAUCUCUAAGAAAAUCAUAUUCUUGAAAUACUUAUCCUAUGCAGCUUUUAAAACAGUUUCUGGCUCUCCCUCUCUGACCUGACGAGUCAUUUCCUUUCAUCUAAUUGUAAUAAAUAUCCGGCUGAACAAAGAGACA